rnacentral:lncRNA from 1 species
UUUUUCCUCUGCCUAUUUCUCACAGCUUCUUUGCUCCCUGCUGCUCAUCUUUGGUAUUCCAAGCAAAGCCACGUGUCCUGAUCUUGGGACCUUGCAUAUUUCACCCCACAUCAGAGUUGAUAAAUCAUAUUGCUUCCAAGCAACAAUCACAACACACUUGAUAGCAGAUGCCAAAAUUCUUUCCAAAAUUUGUUCUUUCUAAAAUAAUAAUCAUUCUAUAUUUAAAAUAGUGAAACACGUUAUUAAAUUAGGAAACUAAUUUAAUACUUACCAUAGGUGUGUAGGAAGAAUCAUGGCAGAUCAGGAAAUGGAUGUAUCAAAACAGAGAAGUCGUCGGUGGGGUGGGGGUCGACGACACGGUGGGCGAACUCCAGGGCUCAGCGGUGACUCGGCGGCGGACGAACCGCAAGCUCAGCGGCGACUAUUUCGCCGGAGUCUAGAAGAAGGAACGGCAACGGGUUAUAGGAAAAAGAAAUCUUAGGGCUCUUGUAUUAAUUGCUUCGAAUGGAGAAUUCUCAUGGGUUUAAGAAGUGGAAACAAAAUCGAACUAAUUAAGGAAUGGAAGAGGGAGUCAGAGAUGAGGCGGAGCAACGCCGCCCUUAGGACGGCGGCGACGCCUGAAUUUAGAGGGAGAGAGAGGCGGGCAGUUUAAGGGGGGAAUUAGGGCUUGAUUUGAGUGUGCAAUCGACUUUAGAGAGAGAAAAUGAUUGAGAGAAGAGAGAGACAGUGAAGGGGGAGACGACGCCGACCGGAUUCAGGGACGGCGACGAUGGGGUGAGGAAGAGGGAGGCGUGACUUUUGUUUUAAAAGUGAGAAUGAGAAUAUAUAGAUUGGAUUCUCAAAUGCCACGUUGGAGAUUGAGAUUGAAAAGAAAGAAUUUGAGGCCUGCCACGUAGGCUAAGGCCUAAUCGUAUAGAAUAGUAUUAUUAUUAUUAUUAUUAUUAUUAUUAUUAUUAUUAUUAUUAUUAUUAUUAUUAUUAUUAUUAUUAUUAUUAUUAUUAUUAUUAUUGUAGUAAUGGACGAACAAAACAAUAAAGUUUGCAGAAAUGAAAAUAUAUUUUUCUUCCCUAUAUAAUAAAUGUAUGGAUUUAUUUUAUAAAAAUAAAUAAAAUUUAAUAUUUAGAUAGACAUAAAUAAGAUUUGUUUUAAAGUAAUCAGUUUAUAAAAUUUGUGCCUUAUUAUGCAAACAUAUAAAUCAAUGACCGGACCCGUUUAUAAUUUACAUAUACGUGCAUGUCUCAAUUAAAACUUAAUUUAAAAUUAAUUUUAUUGAAAAUUAAGAAUAUAAAUAUUAUAUAUAUACAUACAAUAUAUAUACAAUAUAAUAUAUUGCAACAUAUACAUAUAAUAUGUACGCUAUUGAGAAAUAUAAAAUUAAUAACAAAUAUACAUCUAAUCACUAACAUUCAAUUAAAAUAAUUUAUCGUAUAUAGAUUAUAAUUUUUUUCUUAUCGGACAUGUAAAUCUAGUUUUUAUCUAGAAAAAAUAAAUAAUAAAAUUUAUUAAUUUAGAUUAUAUGUAAUGUUAAUAUUAUUAUAUAGAUAUUAUAUUAUAUGAUUAAUGAAUCUUUAUAUAGAAUGUAAUAGUUAAUUAAUUAAUAAAUGAUGAAGAUUAGUAUAUGGUAAAUUUUGAAAUGGUGAAAUUUUAGAUAUGCCACAUAGGUUAAGGCUUAAUCCUAUUAUAUAAUAGAUUAACUACACACUUAAAACACUAAUCUACAACUCUUUAAUUUCCGUGCCGAAUCCAAACGUGUCAAGAUUCGUGGGACGGAGGGAGUAAUUUAUAGUAUUAAAAUAUUGUGUAUAUUUAAAGACGAUGAUAUUCCGUUGAGGAUGCAAAAAUUUCAAGGAUGAUCAUAUCCCAUUCGAGAGGCGAAAAUUCACACUCAAAUCAAUAUGUAAGAUCAAAUUUUCAGAUACUAGGAAUAAAGAUAUAUAGGAUCAAAUUCCUAACCCUUUUGUCCUAUUCACNUAUUUCAUCAUCGUAGGUAUUUAUAGGCAUUACAGUCGGGGUAAAGUAGUAAAUUCGUUUGGUAAUCUAUUUUGCAUGCUCGCCAUUAAACUAAUUAAGGCUAUUAUUAGAUUAUAACUUGUCAGGUCGUUGUCCCCUAAUUACAGAGCUGGAUUCUGUCCUCAUCAUCCCGCUCUGUCUAAUAGCUCUGGAUUUCCUUCCUUGGGGCAGACUUUUACUCUUUGGCUCCGCUCUGCUAAAUAGCUCCGCCUUCUGGCGAAUUGUCUCUGACGUGUGGCUCCGCGCUCUGGCUCCAAUAGCUUAGCUUUGACUCUGGAUCUGGCGAUUUGGCUCUGGCUCUGACUCUAACGACUUAGCUCUGACUCUGGAUCUGGCGACUUGGCUCUGGCUCUGACUUUAAUGACUUAGCUCUGGCUCUGGCACUGGCUAUGGCUUAGCUCUGCUCUGGCAGCUCUGCUCUGGAAGCUUUGCUCUGGCAUCUCUGCUCUGGUUAGCUCUGGCUCUGGCAUCUCUGCUCUGGCAUCUCUGCUCUGGCAACUUGACUCUGGCCCUCUGCUCUGGAAGCUCUGCUCUGGUUAGCUCUGGCUCUGGAAGCUCUGCUCUGGCAACUCUACUCUGGCAGCUCUGUUCUGGAAGCUUUGCUCUGCCAACUCUGCUCUGGACUUUUUCCUCUGCCUAUUUCUCACAGCUUCUUUGCUCCCUGCUGCUCAUCUUUGGUAUUCCAAGCAAAGCCACGUGUCCUGAUUUUAGGAACUUGCAUCAAUCACAACACGCUUGAUAGCAGAUGCCAAAAUUCUUUCCAAAAUUUGUUCUUUCUAAAAUAAUAAUCAUUCUAUAUUUAAAAUAGUGAAACGCUUUAUUAAAUUAGGAAACUAAUUUAAUACUUACCAUAGGUGUGUAGGAAGAAUCACGGCUAAUCAGGAAAUGGAGGUAUCAAAACAGAGAAGUCGUCGGUGGGGUGGGGGUCGACGGCACGGUGGACGAACUCCAGGGCUCAGCGGUGACUCGACGGCGGAUGAACCGCAAGCUCAGCGGCGACUAUUUCGCCGGAGUCUAGAAGAAGGAACGACAACGGGUUAUAGGAAAAAGAAAUCUUAGGGCUCUUGUAUUAAUUGCUUCAAAUGGAGAAUUCUCAUGGGUUUAAGAAGUGGAAACAAAAUCGAACUAAUUAAGGAAUGGAAGAGGGAGUCAGAGAUGAGGCGGAGCAACGCCGCCCUUAGGACGGCGGCGACGCCUGAAUUUAGAGGGAGAGAGAGGCGGGCAGUUUAAGGGGGGAAUUAGGGCUUGAUUUGAGUGUGCAAUCGACUUUAGAGAGAGAAAAGGAUUGAGAGAAGAGAGAGACAGUGAAGGGGGAGACGACGCCGACCGGAUUCAGGGACGGCGGCGAUGGGGUGAGGAAGAGGGAGGUGUGACUUUUGUUUUAAAAGUGAGAAUGAGAAUAUAUAGAUUGGAUUCUCAAAUGCCACGUUGGAGAUUGAGAUUGAAAAGAAAUAAUUUGAGGCCUGCCACGUAGGCUAAGGCCUAAUCGUA